GGUCGCACUGCUGAUAACAGCUGUGUGUCUCAUCAUAAGGAAAAGAAUGAAAGGAAACAAAAUGCAGAAGAAUGAAAAUCCUGGACUGAGUUCAAACCCUGCAGAGACUCAAACCAAUCAGAACUCGGUGAGAUC